CACAAGUUCAAAAAAUAUGCAAAAAAAAACCCAAAACAUAUACACGUUUUACACUUAUCCAUUUCAGGGUCAUGGGGCCUAUCUCAGCUGUCUUGGUGUGAGUGCGGAACAACAUGGACACUAUCCACUCACUCUCACACCCUCACCCUAUAGACAAUUUUGAAACAGCAGUUAUGUAAAAAAAGAAGCACUGGGACAGUGGGGGGGGAAAAAAACAAGAAAGAACAUGUGAACUUCAUAGAGGGGCUGAGGUCAACCAGGAGGUGCAAUCCCAGAAACGUCUUGCUGUGAAGCAACGUUGUAGCGUUAACCACUGAAUGAUUGUACAAAACACUUUAAUGCAGGAAGCAAUGGAAAGAAUUUUAACACUUUUAAUGAACAACUUCAAGAUACGGUAACAAAAUCUGCGGCAAGUUCAGGAAUAAAAGUUGAAUAAUGUUCAAGGGAAGGUCACAGGUCAGCAAUCUAAUGGUCAAGUCUCGUUACACAGGAUAGAGUUCAGCUACUCCAGCAUUCUUGAACUGCUCAGUUUUCGGCAGGGUUCUCGUUCAGAAAGACUGACGUUGAUUCACAUAAGAAUUCCCUGUUGCCCACGGGUCUAGACUUAUGUGAGUAUUCCUCAGUAAAGCCAGAGGGGAACAGGCAGGAAAAACCAGGAGCUAGUGUUACAGAGUAUAGCAUGGUGGAAAAGGAUGGAGAGAAUCCCCCACUAAGCUUUUGGGUUGGCAUUUCUUUAGAUUUUGUUUUGUAUUAAUUGCAUGCUUUGGUGUUUUUUUUGUGUUUGAUGUGAGGUGUGGGCCACACCCAUGUGGGAGUGGAGAUUCUACUCUAGUCCAGCUGCCAGCUAUUUGGAGUUGAAUACAGGGAGCAGCUGAUUGGGGAGGAUUGGAGGCCUUCUCUAUAAAGGGGAGAGGAAACAGGAAGUAGGGGUUGUUGUUGUUUUUUUAGUAGGACACUGGUGAAGCAGGGAAGCCUCGAAGAUCCAGGAUGACGUGUGCACAUUUUAAUGGAAAAGAUUUUUAACCUGGCCUGGUUUUGCUUUUAAAAUAAACUGAGGAUGUUGGAGGGAGGACUCAUUCUUAUUGGGAUGUGAGUGGAUGUGCUGGAAGGCAGGAAAACAAACACUGGACUGGAGACUCUCUGUGCCCCUGACAAGGAAACUGGACCAGUUUUGGGGAAGUUCCAGCUCCCAGGAUGUGAUGUGGAGACCCAGCCUCGAACGAAGUCAGGCCUGAAAAGGAUAACAACCCUGACCGCGGUGGCUUUGGGCCUUGGAUUCCUGGCCAGAGUUGUCUUCAGCCAGUAGUUUUACCCGGAGAAAGAACAAAUAAAUCUUGUGUAACCCA